rnacentral:rRNA from 1 species
GACGGAGGAUGCAAGUGUUAUCCGGAAUCACUGGGCGUAAAGCGUCUGUAGGUGGUUUCAAAAGUCCACUGUUAAAAAUUGAAGCUUAACUUCAAAGAUGCCGUGGAAACUUUGAAACUUGAGUAUGAUAGGGGUAGAGGGAAUUUCCAGUGGAGCGGUGAAAUGCGCAGAUAUCAGGAAGAACACCCGUGGCGAAAGCGGCUCUCUGGAACGGUACUGACGCUGAGACGCGAAAGCGUGGGGAGCGAACAGG